rnacentral:rRNA from 1 species
AUUGAACGCUGGCGGCAGGCCUAACACAUGCAAGUCGAACGGUAACAGGAAGAAGCUUGCUUCUUUGCUGACGAGUGGCGGACGGGUGAGUAAUGUCUGGGAAACUGCCUGAUGGAGGGGGAUAACUACUGGAAACGGUAGCUAAUACCGCAUAACGUCGCAAGACCAAAGAGGGGGACCUUCGGGCCUCUUGCCAUCGGAUGUGCCCAGAUGGGAAUAGCUAGUAGGUGGGGUAACGGCUCACCUAGGCGACGAUCCCUAGCUGGUCUGAGAGGAUGACCAGCCACACUGGAACUGAGACACGGUCCAGACUCCUACGGGAGGCAGCAGUGGGGAAUAUUGCACAAUGGGCGCAAGCCUGAUGCAGCCAUGCCGCGUGUAUGAAGAAGGCCUUCGGGUUGUAAAGUACUUUCAGCGGGGAGGAAGGGAGUAAAGUUAAUACCUUUGCUCAUUGACGUUACCCGCAGAAGAAGCACCGGCUAACUCCGUG